UAGAACCCAAGACCUUCUGGCUCCCAGGCCUAUGCUCUAUCCACUACAUCAUGCUGCAACACAAGGCGAUCGAAGAUAUGUAAUUUGAAGAUGAGGGACAAUGAAGAACAGAAGAUUGGUCCAAACCUGUCACCUGAUAAGGAUCCUGGCUCUGGGAGAAGACUUCUAUCAGGAAAAAAAUCCCAGAUCUGGACUGCACAACCAAAAUGAAGAUGAGGAGUGAAGAGCUAUCUCUAGCAGAUGACCCAACCAAGUCAUAAAGGGAGCCUGAAUUAGCCACUUGAUUUGCUCUGGAGACAGCUAAACUGGAUAAUUUUCAAUCAGCCACUGCACUUGGAUUAUAAAGGUCCAAUCCUAGUUUCUUUUUCAAUUAUUAGGGAAAAGUGCUCAGCCCGGGAAGAUGAAAUCUACGUAUACAUGGAGUUGAGAUACAUAGUUAAUACAAGAAUCUGCUUCCAUUCUUAUCACAACUCACCCUUUGCUUUAAGUUGUUGCAAGAGAAAUGUCUCUCUGGCUGGAAGGGGAAGAGGCUUCUAUGCCUCCACACCCCCCCCCAUCAUUAUAGCUGGGUUCCUCAACUACUUUGUGGUGAUUUUAUAAAACAAUUAAAUAUAUAAUUUAGAUGAAGAUGUCUGAAUUUCACAGACAAAAGUUACUGGAAAAAAAAACACUUUUCUUUAUGUACUUUCCUACCUUAAGUUCAAGCAAAUAAGCCUACAGUAUUUUAAGUAAACCUUAAUGAGAAGGGUUAAAUUCAAGACGACGUGAUGCAAAACAUAACAGAACUUGAAUAAACUAUGCCCCUUAAUAAAAGUGGUUUAA